UGGGGGUGAUGAACUGGCUUAGCCUGACUUUGUAGAGUAGAGGCGAAAAAACUGAUUUAAUGAGCCUGAUCC
ensembl:snoRNA